AAACCGGUGCAUAUGACACUUCAACAACAAUUCCUUGAAUAUUUUUCAUGCUUCCUAGAAGCUUUCAUCCUCCAUUUGCUUGAAUAAAGUUAAAUUAUUUCAAAGUUU